GACGGUUUAGCUCAGGGUAGAGCAUGUGUUUAGCAUGCACGACGAGGUCCUGGGUUCAAUCCCCAGUACCUCCA
rnacentral:tRNA from 1 species